GCUGCUUUAAUAAUCACACACCUUUAUGCGGUGAUUAGCAAGCAACGAUCUUAUGAUUGGUUAAGAUGUGAAA
rnacentral:ribozyme from 2 species